UACGGAGGAUCCAAGCGUUAUCCGGAUUUAUUGGGUUUAAAGGGUGCGCAGGCGGGAGAUUAAGUCGGCGGUGAAAUUUUGCAGCUCAACUGUAAAAGUGCCUUCGAAACUGAUUUCCUUGAGUGUGGAUGAAGUAGGCGGAAUUUGUGGUGUAGCGGUGAAAUGCAUAGAUAUCACGAGGAACUCCGAUUGCGCAGGCAGCUUACUAAGCCAUAACUGACGCUCAGGCACGAAGGCGUGGGGAUCAAACAGGAUUAGAUACCCCGGUA
rnacentral:rRNA from 1 species